UACGGGGGGGAGCAAGCGUUGUUCGGAUUUACUGGGCGUAAAGGGCGCGUAGGCGGCGUGACAAGUCACUUGUGAAAUCUCCGGGCUUAACUCGGAGCGGCCAAGUGAUACUGUCGUGCUAGAGUGCGGAAGGGGCUACUGGAAUUCUCGGUGUAGCGGUGAAAUGCGUAGAUAUCGAGAGGAACACCUGCGGCGAAGGCGGCUUUCUGGUCUGUAACUGACGCUGAGGCGCGAAAGCGUGGGGAGCAAACAGG
rnacentral:rRNA from 1 species